rnacentral:rRNA from 1 species
GACGAACGCUGGCGGCGUGCCUAAUACAUGCAAGUCGAACGCAGUGGGGACGGGUGCGUAACACGUGGGUAACCUCCCAUCAGAGGGGAUAACACUUGGAAACAGGUGCUAAACUGCUACUGAUGGAUGGACCAGGGGUGCAUUAGCUAGUUGGUGAGGUAACGGCUCACCAAGGCUACGAUGCAUAGCCGGCCGGAGAGGGUGAGCGGCCACACUGGGACUGAGACACGGCCCAGACUCCUACGGGAGGCAGCAGUAGGGAAUCUUCGGCAAUGGACGAAAGUCUGACCGAGCAACGCCGCGUGAGUGAAGAAGGUUUUCGGGUCGUAAAACUCUGUUGUUAGAGAAGCGGUAUCUAACCAGAAAGCCACGGCUAACUACGUGCCAGCAGCCGCGGUAAUUC